GACGAACGCUGGCGGCGUGCUUAACACAUGCAAGUCGAACGGAAAGGCCCUGCUUUUGUGGGGUGCUCGAGUGGCGAACGGGUGAGUAACACGUGAGUAACCUGCCCUUGACUUUGGGAUAACUUCAGGAAACUGGGGCUAAUACCGGAUAGGAGCUCCUGCUGCAUGGUGGGGUUGGCAAGUUUCGGCGGUUGGGGAUGGACUCGCGGCUUAUCAGCUUGUUGGUGGGGUAGUGGCUUACCAAGGCUUUGACGGGUAGCCGGCCUGAGAGGGUGACCGGCCACAUUGGGACUGAGAUACGGCCCAGACUCCUACGGGAGGCAGCAGUGGGGAAUAUUGCACAAUGGGCGGAAGCCUGAUGCAGCAACGCCGCGUGCGGGAUGACGGCCUUCGGGUUGUAAACCGCUUUCGCCUGUGACGAAGCGUGAGUGACGGUAAUGGGUAAAGAAGCACCGGCUAACUACGUG
rnacentral:rRNA from 1 species